rnacentral:rRNA from 1 species
CCUACGGGAGGCAGCAGUGGGGAAUAUUGCACAAUGGGGGAAACCCUGAUGCAGCGACGCCGCGUGAGUGAAGAAGUAUUUCGGUAUGUAAAGCUCUAUCAGCAGGGAAGAAAAUGACGGUACCUGAUUAAGUAUCCCCGUCUAACUACGUUCCAGCAGCCGCGGUACUACGUAGGGGGCAAGCGUUAUCCGGAUUUACUGGGUGUUAAGGGAGCGUAGACGGCAGCGCAAGUCUGAAGUGAAAUGCCGGGGCUUAACCCCGGAACUGCAUUGGAAACUGUGCAGCUAGAGUGCAGGAGAGGUAAGUGGAAUUCCUAGUGUAGCGGUGAAAUGCGUAGAGAUUAGGAGGAACACCAGUGGCGAAGGCGGCUUACUGGACUGUAACUGACGUUGAGGCUCGAAAGCGUGGGGAGCAAACAGGAUUAGAUACCCGGGUAGUC